rnacentral:lncRNA from 1 species
UGAGUUAGUAAGGAGAUAUAAGAAUAAAGUAAGAGUUUUAUUCUUGAAUAUAAAGAACUGUCUGGCACCUGAAACUGGGUGAGACUGGUUUGGGCUAUUUGACUCUGACUUUAGGAGAGAAAAGACAAGGUCCAGGGUUAAACAGCCUCGACAUUGCUCCUGUAUGUUUCUUUGCUCUUUAUAUUGGAGAAAAAUAGGUGGAACCUCUUGCUGGUUCCCUCUUUUAAGUUUUUAUUUGUCUUCCACUUCUUUCUAGGUAUAUGGAUUAAUUUGAUCAAAAGAGUUGGCUUCAGGCUCCCAUUGUUCUUCAUCAGCCAUCAACAAAAGCAUCAUUUUAGGUGACUGGUCUGCUGGAGAUGAGAAGGUUGAUGGCACCUGAAUACAUCCCAGCCCCUGAGAAGAGCUUCCACGAUUUUACCACCAUUUAUGGGCACUGCCAGCAACUGCUGUGUGGACAGGAACCAGAGAAAUUUGUGAAAGUGCGGCAUUUACUCACUGCUGGACAGAAGCCAUUUCUUGAUAUGCUGCUCCUAUGUGUUAUCAUGUCAACCCCAUCUUUCCAGAGAUACUCUGUAUUUGGAGCCAUUGGGAGUUGGAAGUCAGCAAAAUUUCAAAGUUGGUAUUGCUGAUUCCCUCUCCUUUAUUGGUAUUGAGCUCCACCAUCUUCAAGACGUGGCCUCCAGCGUUAUCACACAUGUCUGCUUCUGGCCAGUGGAGGAGAAAAAAAGGGCGAGGAAAGCGCAUCCUUUAAGCUCCGUGGCAUAGAAAUGAUUCUCCUCAGGUCUGCUCAUACUCCACUGGUGAGAGUGAGUCACAAGGCCUUGCUUAGAUGUUAGGGGAAAUGGGAAAUGACCCCGGCUAGCUUAGUCACCCUACCAUAGGUGAGGGGAAGCGGUAAUCAUUGGUUGACCUGUAGCUGUCUGAGCCACAGCAAUUUUUAACGCCAUUGAUAGAUCAUGGCAAAUAGUCAUCCUGAAUGAUUGUAUCCAUGUACCUAAUAAGUCAAAAUUCUUAUUUCUCAAAGCAGAGGCAAUGUAAUUAAAUAAAUAUUUGUUGGACCUUGUAAUAUUUCUUUGA